rnacentral:rRNA from 1 species
AAGGAUCAUUACAGAAUGAAAGUGCUUAACUGCAUUUUUUUUACACAUGUGUUUUUCUUUUUUUUUGAAAACUUUGCUUUGGUGGGCCCAUGGCCUGCCAGAGAUUAAACUCAACCAAAUUUUUAUUUAAGUCAACUGAUUAACUAAUAGUCAAAACUUUCAACAACGGAUCUCUUGGUUCUCGCAUCGAUGAAGAACGCAGCGAAAUGCGAUAAGUAAUAUGAAUUGCAGAUAUUCGUGAAUCAUCGAAUCUUUGAACGCACAUUGCGCCCUUUGGUAUUCCAAAGGGCAUGCCUGUUUGAGCGUCAUUUCUCCCUCAAACCUUCGGGUUUGGUGUUGAGCGAUACGCUGGGUUUGCUUGAAAGAAAGGCGGAGUAUAAACUAAUGGAUAGGUUUUUUUUCCACUCAUUGGUACAAACUCCAAAAUUCUUCCAAAUUCGACCUCAAAUCAGGUAGGACUACCCGCUGAACUUAA